ACUAUGUCAUGUGAAAAGUAGCUUGAUUUGGGGUCACUGCUAUUCAGUGGAAAAUUUAACCUUGGGAUGGAUAAUGCAGCCCAAAUUUGAACUCUGAAAGACUAUUCACUGGAUUGGAAGACCAAUAGAUACCAAUAAAUUAAAAGUAAUUGCUGUUUAUCCUUCAUCAAAAUUACCAUUAUUCUACAAGGUGGCCCUCCAGAGUUAGUGAACUGUGACCUCCACAUGGGAUUUGGACAUGCGUGCCCUACAUCUGGAAUGCAGAAACACUCUUCACAGAACUCUGAUAGCCCAGGAAUAUUUAUGUAAAUCUCUGUCCUGAUGAGAAAAUGUAGGCCACAAAACUUUCCUGACGCUCCCAAAGUCAUCCAGCAAGAAGUACCAGAAUCAAAAUCUUCUUAUCCUUGCAA
rnacentral:lncRNA from 10 species